CCUACGGGAGGCUGCAGUGGGGAAUAUUGGACAAUGGGCGAAAGCCUGAUCCAGCCAUGCCGCGUGUGUGAAGAAGGCCUUCGGGUUGUAAAGCACUUUCAGUGGGGAAGAAAGCCUUGGGGCUAAUACCCUCGAGGAAGGACAUCACCCACAGAAGAAGCACCGGCUAACUCCGUGCACAGCAGCCGCGGUAAUACGGAGGGUGCGAGCGUUAAUCGGAAUUACUGGGCGUAAAGCGCGCGUAGGCGGUCUGAUAAGCCGGUUGUGAAAGCCCCGGGCUCAACCUGGGAACGGCAUCCGGAACUGUCAGGCUAGAGUGCAGGAGAGGAAGGUAGAAUUCCCGGUGUAGCGGUGAAAUGCGUAGAGAUCGGGAGGAAUACCAGUGGCGAAGGCGGCCUUCUGGACUGACACUGACGCUGAGGUGCGAAAGCGUGGGUAGCAAACAGGAUUAGAUACCCUAGUAGUC
rnacentral:rRNA from 1 species